rnacentral:rRNA from 1 species
AGCGAACGCUGGCGGCAGGCCUAACACAUGCAAGUCGAACGGCAGCACAGUAAGAGCUUGCUCUUACGGGUGGCGAGUGGCGGACGGGUGAGGAAUACAUCGUAAUCUACUUUUUCGUGGGGGAUAACGUAGGGAAACUUACGCUAAUACCGCAUACGACCUACGGGUGAAAGCAGGGGAUCUUCGGACCUUGCGCGAUUGAAUGAGCCGAUGACGGAUUAGCUAGUUGGCGGGGUAAAGGCCCACCAAGGCGACGAUCCGUAGCUGGUCUGAGAGGAUGGUCGGCCACACUGGAACUGAGACACGGUCCAGGCUCCUACGGGAGGCAGCAGUGGGGAAUAUUAGACAAUGGGCGCAAGCCUGAUCCAGCCAUACCGCGUGGGUGAAGGAGGCCUUCGGGUUGUAAAGCCCUUUUGUUGGGAAAGAAAAGCAGCAGGUUAAUACCCCGCUGUUCUGACGGUACCCAAAGAAUAAGCACCGGCUAACUUCGUG